UACGUAGGAGGCAAGCGUUGUCCGGAAUUACUGGGCGUAAAGCGCGUGUAGGUGGUGGGACAAGUCUGCUGUGAAAGCGCCUGGCUUAACCGGGCGAGGUCGGCGGAAACUGUCCGACUCGAGGACGGUAGAGGGGGGUGGAAUUCCCGGUGUAGUGGUGAAAUGCGUAGAGAUCGGGAGGAACACCUGUGGCGAAGGCGGCCCCCCUGGGCCGGCCCCUGAC
rnacentral:rRNA from 1 species